CCACGCUCCCCAACCACGGCGACUGCACGCCUCCCGCUCGCCAUUGCCCCCACCGCAGAUCUCGCCGCGCUGACCUCGCGGCAUGCCUCCACGGCGAUGAAGAUCGGAGCCCGCGGCCGAGGCCGCUCCCCCUCCCCCUCCCCCUUCCCCCACUCGUUUCCCUCCCCAAGUUCAGGAAGCUUUUGUGGAGUUGGUGAGACUGGUCUCACCGCUCCCGCAGGCGAUAUCCAUGGCGACGGGCGAUCGGAGUUGGGUGGAACCGGCGACAAGGAUUCACGACGCUACUGCGGCGUGGAUCCGGCGAGUCCAGGAUUGGAAGGCGGCAGAUCAGGUGGUGGCAGUGGCGAGAGAUCCAGAUACGCGAGCCGCGGCGAGCAGAUAUGCAGAGACUUGCCGUCUACGAGCAGAGGGAGAACAGAGGAUCCUGGCGAAGCGGAUCUACGACAAGGCUAUGGUGGUGGAGAGACAAAGGAUGCCUGCACUCCCCGUUGACCGAGUUCGUGAAGUGGGCGAGGGCAGAGGCGAAAUCCGAAGAUCCCCGCAGGGCGCUGAGAUGGGAGGGCAUGCUUGGAGUGAUUCCAUCGGGUGCGCCGCUGCAAAACAUCUCGUGCUGGCCGCCGUCGUCGAUUCGGGAUUGAGCUCGGCUGGAGUUCAAGUCGCCACGCCCCCAGGCUCACCCAUGGCGUACAGAAGAGGCAGUGAUGCCAGGAGUAGGCGUGCUUCGCCGUCGCCGAUGUCGUUCAGUUCGCCGGUGAGGAGAGCCGUGGGUCGAAGAGUCACUGCCAGGAGGGCCCUGCAGGUCAGUGAGCAGCUAGCGGCGGACCCCACUUGCCCCGUCCUCAUACCUUUAGCGGGAGUGGUGGUUGCGACCCUUCAAAAGGCGUCUCCCCCCUCAGAUCCGCACCAGGAGGGCCCGGGUCGGGGGCAAGCUAGGGUUCGUCCUAUACAUAGCAGGUUCAGCAAAUCCAAUCUGGUGUGGGUUCGAAAGGACAAAUUCAUUUCUGGAGAAUUCACUGAAGCGGAUUGCCACCCAGUCGGUAAUUCAGAUCGUUUGACAGCUCCAAAAUUCUUCUCCUUCUCUCAAGAUUACUGGGCAAGGAAAUCGGGCAAGAUCCCGUUCGCUUCCAUUGUCAAGAUGGCUGGAGGAGGAAGAGAUGCUAGCAACCGUGGAGGGAGAUAUGGCUCGGGGAGGGACCGUAAUGGUCGCCCCCUGCUCCCACUCCGUCGGGGCAGGAUAGGACCGCUCCGCCGCCGCUGGUUCCUCAGGCGCCUCAAGUUGCACCGCCGUAGAUGUCGAUCUACGCCAAGCCCCCAUUGUUUUCCAGUUGGUUAUGCUCAAUCUAUGAUGCAGGCAGGAGGGCGGAUGUAUGGAUAUCAAGGGGGCUAGAAUCCUCAGAUGCAGCAGUUGCAGCAGAUGCCACAAUGGGCGAAUCAGCAGCAGUUCCCCUUCCAGUAUCUGCCUCCUACUCAGAUUUUUCCCCAACAAUUCAGCCCUCAGAUGCAGCAGGUCCAGUUUGGAGGAAGUGGAUCAUCUACUGGAGGAAGUGUGCAGAACAUCCAGCCGGAGUCUAGCAAGAAUAAGAAAAAGAAGAACCAAAAGAUCGAGCAGGCAGCUGCUACUACUGCUAGUGAUGAAUCCUCCUCCAUUAAUGUUGAUCCUAAGUUCAUUGGGGCAAUUUGCUACAAUUGUGGUCUCCCAGGUCACUUUGUGGGCACGUGCCCCAUCCCAAAAGUGUGUUUCAUCUGCAAGACCCCUGGCCACCACAUGGAUACAUGUCCUACUUGGUACAAACCCUACCCUGCUGCCAUGUACUGGGGGAGGCUAAUAAUGGUCUAGGAUUUUUUUUCAUAUUGAAACUGGUGGCAAGGAGGACUGCGAGUGGCUAAACUUUGGAAAUGUUGGCCUAGUCUUAAUUGAAAAAGGAGAGAUCACUGAGAAAGAGCUGGGGCUAUGUUUCUCUGAUAGUGGAACACUAACUGGCCCUGGCAGAUCAGAAGAUAUGAUGAGAAAAAAUUCAUUGUCAGGUUUCCCCCCACCAAGAAGAUCAAAGAUCUGGUGGAAUAUCCUUCCAUUAACCUGAAGAAAGAAGGAGUGACUAUAUCUUUCAGUGAUUGGAAUGGAGAAAUGCCAUCCUAUGACACUCUGGAGGAAACUUGGAUUGUGAUUGAAGGACUGCCUCCCAAAUGGAUAUCCUGGAGCAUUAUCUCUCAAAUAUCUACUAUGCUGGGGGUCCUUGUUAAUGUUGAUUGGCACACUAUCUUCAGGAGCUUCUAUGAGAAGGUGAGGAUCCAGGUAGCUGUCAGAGACCCUGCUAAGAUUCCCAGAGACAGGAUGGUGGAGAUACACCAUGAACUAUAUUUGCUGCAGUUUACCGUGGAGUCUGAGGCUGUGAGUGGUCAUGAGUCAGAUAAUCCUCCAGGCCCUGAUGAUAACAAUCCCUCUUAGAACAAGCAUACUGAAGAAGAAUUUGAUUCCAGUGGUGAUGACUUACUUGGAGAAGAUAUGGAUACUGGAAAUAGCAACAACAAUGCCAAAGACAAGCAUCAAACCACUGGAUCCAAUGGAGCCAGGACUAUGCAGAAGUGCUCUACACCUGCUCCCAGAGCUAAUGAAGAAAAUGUAGUCUCCUCCAAAUUCCUGGGUGCACCUAUGACCAAAAGCUACCUUGAGGCAGUGAAGAAGAGACACAAUGAUACGAUGGGCACCCCCUCCUGGAUCAAUGUGAAGCUGCUGCUGACAAGCCUGUUUCUCAGAAGUGCACUAGUACUCAGCAGAAGUGGGGCCCUGUGGUGGCCUCCAGAGUUAGCACCAGGAACAAGAGAGAUAACAGACCAGCUCUUCAAAAAGCUCAGGAGUUAAAGCAAAUUAAAAACCUGGAAAAACCUACUAUAAGAAAAGGGGGCUGGAAGAAAUCUGGAGGAAAGAAGAAAUCAAGGCCAUGCAGAGAUCUAGAGAGAGAGACAUACUGGAAGGGGACUUAAAUUCUAGCUACUUUAAAGCUGUAGCUAAUCAAAAGAGGAGAAAGAAGCAGAUCAUGGCGCUGGAAGGAAAUGAAGGUGUUGUGGAGGAAAACUGCUACUAUGCUAGGCAGUUGGAUGGUUCGAUGCUCUGGCCCUGUCAAAGAAAGGGUGAUACACUUGGUGAGAAAGCUGGAGCAGGAAGCGCCCCCCUCCUGAUGUGGCCAGACCCUGGCUAGGCCUUCUGCAGUGCUCGGAGGUGCUGCGCGAACCGUGACACUGACUGAGAUCUGGGUGGUCCUCUGAGCAGCUCCCCCAGUUUCUCUUUCUCUGCCGGUUGUUAGUAUCUUUGAGUGUAGCUCCUAAAACCUUUAGUAGUUUAGUAUUUGGCGCUCUGCCUGUUGAGGCUGAGACAACUCUUUUGCUGGGGCAGCGUGUGUGCUGUUUUAUCUCCCCCGCGUGCUUGUAAACAGGAUGAUGGUUAUCUGUGGUUUCAUUUGGUAAUACAAGUGGAGCCGGGGCCGAGAGCCCUUUUCCUCUAAAAA